UACGUAGGGUGCAAGCGUUGUUCGGAAUUAUUGGGCGUAAAGCGCGUGUAGGCGGACUUGAAAGUCAGAGGUGAAAUCCCAGGGCUCAACCUUGGAACUGCCUUUGAAACUUCUGGUCUUGAGAACGGGAGAGGUGAGUGGAAUUCCCAGUGUAGAGGUGAAAUUCGUAGAUAUUGGGAAGAACACCGGUGGCGAAGGCGGCUCACUGGCCCGUUUCUGACGCUCAGGCACGAAAGCGUGGGGAGCAAACAGG
rnacentral:rRNA from 1 species